AGGAUGAACGCUGGCGGUCUGCUUAACACAUGCAAGUCGAACGGGCGUAGCAAUACGUUAGUGGCGGACGGGUGAGUAACGCGUGAGAAUCUACCUUCAGGACGGAGACAACAGUUGGAAACGACUGCUAACCCCCGAUGUACUGAAAAGGCAAAUAUUUAUAGCCUGAAGAAGAGCUCGCGUCCGAUUAGCUAGUUGGAGAGGUAAAAGCUCACCAAGGCGACGAUCGGUAGCUGGUCUGAGAGGACGAUCAGCCACACUGGGACUGAGACACGGCCCAGACUCCUACGGGAGGCAGCAGUGGGGAAUUUCCGCAAUGGGCGAAAGCCUGACGGAGCAAGACCGCGUGGGGGAAGAAGGCUACUUGGGGUUGUAAAACCCCUUUUCUCUGGGAAGAAAGUUGUGAAAGCAGCCUGACGGUACCAGAGGAAUCAGCAUCGGCUAACUCCGUGCCAGCAGCCGC
rnacentral:rRNA from 1 species